GGGUUGUGAGGUUAAGCGACUAAGCGUACACGGUGGAUGCCCUGGCAGUCAGAGGCGAUGAAGGACGUGCUAAUCUGCGAAAAGCGUCGGUAAGGUGAUAUGAACCGUUAUAGCCGGCGAUGUCCGAAUGGGGAAACCCAGUGCAAUUCGUUGCACUAUCGUUAACUGAAUACAUAGGUUAACGAGGCGAACCGGGGGAACUGAAACAUCUAAGUACCCCGAGGAAAAGAAAUCAACCGAGAUUCCCCCAGUAGCGGCGAGCGAACGGGGAGCAGCCCAGAGUCUGAAUCAGCUUGUGUGUUAGUGGAACGGUCUGGAAAGUCCGACGGUACAGGGUGAUAGUCCCGUACACCAAAAUGCACAGGCUGUGAACUCGAAGAGUAGGGCGGGACACGUGGUAUCCUGUCUGAAUAUGGGGGGACCAUCCUCCAAGGCUAAAUACUCCUGACUGACCGAUAGUGAACCAGUACCGUGAGGGAAAGGCGAAAAGAACCCCGGCGAGGGGAGUGAAAAAGAACCUGAAACCGUGUACGUACAAGCAGUGGGAGCACCUUCGGGUGUGACUGCGUACCUUUUGUAUAAUGGGUCAGCGACUUAUAUUCUGUAGCAAGGUUAACCGUAUAGGGGAGCCGCAGGGAAACCGAGUCUUAACUGGGCGUUAAGUUGCAGGGUAUAGACCCGAAACCCGGUGAUCUAGCCAUGGGCAGGUUGAAGGUUGGGUAACACUAACUGGAGGACCGAACCGACUAAUGUUGAAAAAUUAGCGGAUGACUUGUGGCUGGGGGUGAAAGGCCAAUCAAACCGGGAGAUAGCUGGUUCUCCCCGAAAGCUAUUUAGGUAGCGCCUCGUGAACUCAUCUUCGGGGGUAGAGCACUGUUUCGGCUAGGGGGUCAUCCCGACUUACCAACCCGAUGCAAACUACGAAUACCGAAGAAUGUUAUCACGGGAGACACACGGCGGGUGCUAACGUCCGUCGUGAAGAGGGAAACAACCCAGACCGCCAGCUAAGGUCCCAAAGUCAUGGUUAAGUGGGAAACGAUGUGGGAAGGCACAGACAGCCAGGAUGUUGGCUUAGAAGCAGCCAUCAUUUAAAGAAAGCGUAAUAGCUCACUGGUCGAGUCGGCCUGCGCGGAAGAUGUAACGGGGCUAAACCAUGCACCGAAGCUGCGGCAGCGACACUAUGUGUUGUUGGGUAGGGGAGCGUUCUGUAAGCCUGCGAAGGUGACCUGUGAGGGUUGCUGGAGGUAUCAGAAGUGCGAAUGCUGACAUAAGUAACGAUAAAGCGGGUGAAAAGCCCGCUCGCCGGAAGACCAAGGGUUCCUGUCCAACGUUAAUCGGGGCAGGGUGAGUCGACCCCUAAGGCGAGGCCGAAAGGCGUAGUCGAUGGGAAACAGGUUAAUAUUCCUGUACUUGGUGUUACUGCGAAGGGGGGACGGAGAAGGCUAUGUUAGCCGGGCGACGGUUGUCCCGGUUUAAGCAUGUAGGCUGGUUGUCCAGGCAAAUCCGGAUAAUCAAGGCUGAGGUGUGAUGACGAGGCACUACGGUGCUGAAGUAACAAAUGCCCUGCUUCCAGGAAAAGCCUCUAAGCAUCAGGUAACAUCAAAUCGUACCCCAAACCGACACAGGUGGUCAGGUAGAGAAUACCAAGGCGCUUGAGAGAACUCGGGUGAAGGAACUAGGCAAAAUGGUGCCGUAACUUCGGGAGAAGGCACGCUGGUGUGUAGGUGAAGUCCCUGCGGAUGGAGCUGAGACCAGUCGAAGAUACCAGCUGGCUGCAACUGUUUAUUAAAAACACAGCACUGUGCAAACACGAAAGUGGACGUAUACGGUGUGACGCCUGCCCGGUGCCGGAAGGUUAAUUGAUGGGGUUAUCCGUAAGGAGAAGCUCUUGAUCGAAGCCCCGGUAAACGGCGGCCGUAACUAUAACGGUCCUAAGGUAGCGAAAUUCCUUGUCGGGUAAGUUCCGACCUGCACGAAUGGCGUAAUGAUGGCCAGGCUGUCUCCACCCGAGACUCAGUGAAAUUGAACUCGCUGUGAAGAUGCAGUGUACCCGCGGCAAGACGGAAAGACCCCGUGAACCUUUACUAUAGCUUGACACUGAACAUUGAGCCUUGAUGUGUAGGAUAGGUGGGAGGCUUUGAAGCGUGGACGCCAGUCUGCGUGGAGCCAACCUUGAAAUACCACCCUUUAAUGUUUGAUGUUCUAACGUUGGCCCCUUACCGGGGUUGCGGACAGUGUCUGGUGGGUAGUUUGACUGGGGCGGUCUCCUCCCAAAGCGUAACGGAGGAGCACGAAGGUUAGCUAAUCCUGGUCGGACAUCAGGAGGUUAGUGCAAUGGCAUAAGCUAGCUUGACUGCGAGCGUGACGGCGCGAGCAGGUGCGAAAGCAGGUCAUAGUGAUCCGGUGGUUCUGAAUGGAAGGGCCAUCGCUCAACGGAUAAAAGGUACUCCGGGGAUAACAGGCUGAUACCGCCCAAGAGUUCAUAUCGACGGCGGUGUUUGGCACCUCGAUGUCGGCUCAUCACAUCCUGGGGCUGAAGUAGGUCCCAAGGGUAUGGCUGUUCGCCAUUUAAAGUGGUACGCGAGCUGGGUUUAGAACGUCGUGAGACAGUUCGGUCCCUAUCUGCCGUGGGCGCUGGAGAAUUGAGGGGGGCUGCUCCUAGUACGAGAGGACCGGAGUGGACGCAUCACUGGUGUUCGGGUUGUCAUGCCAAUGGCACUGCCCGGUAGCUAAAUGCGGAAGAGAUAAGUGCUGAAAGCAUCUAAGCACGAAACUUGCCCCGAGAUGAGUUCUCCCUGAGACUUUAAGUCUCCUGAAGGAACGUUGAAGACGACGACGUUGAUAGGCCGGGUGUGUAAGCGCAGCGAUGCGUUGAGCUAACCGGUACUAAUGAACCGUGAGGCUUAACCUUACAACGCCGAAG
rnacentral:rRNA from 1 species